AUUGAACGCUGGCGGCAGGCCUAACACAUGCAAGUCGAGCGAGCGGCGGACGGGUGAGUAAUGUAUGGGGACUGCCCGAUAGAGGGGGAUAACUACUGGAAACGGUGGCUAAUACCGCAUACUAUCGGAUAACCCAUAUGGGAUUAGCUAGUAGUUAAGGUAAUGGCUUACCUAGGCGACGAUCCCUCGCUGGUCUGAGAGGAUGCUCAGCAAGACUGGGACUGAGACACGGCCCAGACUCCUACGGAGGCAGCAGUGGGGAAUAUUGCGCAAUGGGCGCAAGCCUGAUGCAGCCAUGCCGCGUGUAUGAAGAAGGCCCUAGGGUUGUAAAGUACUUUCAGUCGGGAGGCAUUACCGACAGAAGAAGCACCGGCUAACUCCGUGCCAGCAGCCGCGGUAAUUC
rnacentral:rRNA from 1 species